UACGGAGGAUGCAAGCGUUAUCCGGAAUGAUUGGGCGUAAAGGGUCCGCAGGUGGCAGUGUAAGUCUGCUGUUAAAGAGUCUGGCUCAACCAGAUCAAGGCAGUGGAAACUACACAGCUAGAGUGAGGUAGGGGCAGAGGGAAUUCCUGGUGUAGCGGUGAAAUGCGUAGAGAUCAGGAAGAACACCGGUGGCGAAAGCGCUCUGCUAGACCAAUACUGACACUGAGGGACGAAAGCUAGGGGAGCGAAUGGG
rnacentral:rRNA from 1 species